rnacentral:lncRNA from 1 species
GGCGGAGGAGAAGAAGAAGGAGAAGGAAAGGAAGGAGGAGGAAGAGGAGGAGAAGAAGAGGAGGAGGAGGAGGAGGAGGGGAGGCGCUCCGGGCGCCGUCAGUGGGCAGCGGAGGCGCGGCAUGCCCCUGGCAGGGGAGAGCGGGCUGGGCUCCGCGGGGCCAUGGGGACCCGCGCGCUGACAAUGCCUGGGUGACCGGAGCCGCGCCAGCCACCCUGUCACCUCCACCAUCGCCCCCUGCACCCAGCCUCGCCGCCGGCCACCAGC